rnacentral:lncRNA from 1 species
CCGGCCCAAUGCCCUGGAUCGAUGCUGAGGGAAACUCCUGGUGCACAGUCUGAACCUUUUGGCUAAGCAAGGACAGCGACUUCUGCGGGGCCUGAGACGGAGCAACGUGCAAAAGAAGGUGGCAUUGGCCAAAAAGCUCCUGGGAAAACUGCGCUUUCUGGCUCAGGAGGACUUGCCGGAGCAGCCUCACUUGCAGCCCCCACUCAGCAUCCUGGUGAUUGAGCGCCGGGCCUUUGGCCGCACAGUCCUUGUGGGUUCCACAUUGUCCCCCAUAUGCUGCGAUUCACAUUUCGGGGACACGAGGAUUCUCCUGAGGAGGAAGGAGUGAUGGAGGAGACAGGGAAUAUGAUGCCCAAGGGACCGCAAGGACAGAAGUCCCUGGAUCCCAUCUUGGCUGAAGCGGGUCUAUCCAGACAGCUCCUGAAGGUGAUGGGGCAGAGGAGCUAG